rnacentral:rRNA from 1 species
UACGAAGGGGGCUAGCGUUGUUCGGAAUCACUGGGCUUAAAGCGUGUGUAGGCGGAUCGUUAAGUGUCUUGUGAAAUCCCACGGCUCACCCGUGGAACUGCUGGGCAUACUGGCGAUCUUGGGCCAACUAGGGGCAGUCGGAACAAGCGGUGGAGCGGUGAAAUGCGUAGAUAUCGCUUGGAACGCCGAAGGUGAAAACAGACUGCUGGGGUUGCGCCGACGCUGAGACACGAAAGCCAGGGGAGCAAACGGG